AGGACCCGAACGCUGGCGGCGUGCCUAAUACAUGCAAGUCGAGCGAAGUAUGAGGAGCUUGCUUCUUAUACUUAGCGGCGAACGGGUGAGAACACGUGGGCAACUGCCCGAUAGACUGGGAUAACUUGGGGAAACUCAAGCUAAUACCGGAUAGGAUCAUUGACUGCCUGGUCGAUGAUGGAAAGUUGAACGACACUAUCGGAUGGGCCUGCGGAUCGCAUUAGCUAGUUGGUGGGGUAAGGGCCUACCAAGGCGACGAUGCGUAGCCGACCUGAGAGGUGAUCGGCCACACUGGGACUGAGACACGGCCCAGACUCCUACGGGAGGCAGCAUAGGGAAUCUUCCACAAUGGGCGAAAGCCUGAUGGAGCACGCCGCGUGAGUGAUGAAGGUUUUCGGAUCGAGUAAAACUCUGUUGUUAGGAAUUGAACACCGGGAGAGGAUCCCGGAAUGACGGUACCUGACGAGAAAGCCCCGGCUAACUACGUGCCAGCAGCCGCGGUAAUACGUAGGGGCAAGCGUUGUCCGGAAUUAU
rnacentral:rRNA from 1 species